rnacentral:lncRNA from 1 species
AAACAAAAGCCAUAAUUGUCAAAUGCACACCCCCAGGUUGGUUCCAUUGCCGUCAAAGCCCUUGUUGAAGGGCAUGGCAAUCUAGAGGUCUUGAUUGCUUACCAACAACCGUUUCUUCUCCUUACCAUAUGGGUGAUGGACCAUUAGGUAGAGUAUUGAGUAUGAAAGAGCCCAUAGAUUACUGAUCAAGUUUACAGCACCAAAAGGUAACUAAACAGCACAUCAGAGAACAGCUGUGCUCCACAGUUUACACCACCAAAAGUUUGGAAAUCCUAAUAAUGGUCUCACGUGCUCAACAGAUUAACAGGCCGAACAACAAAACCGAAUUCGUCACUACAUCCUAGUGUUUCAUAUCCAGCUAGUACCCGUAGUUCGGAGGGUAGUGUGCCCCAUAGCCUCCUCCAUUGUGAGGGGUAGGACCUGCGCCGCCUGGAGGGGUUGCAUACGACAGUCCUCCAUACGGCGGGUAUGAGUUGUAGCCCGAGUCAACUGGUUGAGAGGGAGGAGCGGGACCUGGUGGAGGAACUUGGGGAGAAGCUUCGGCCAUGAAAUUCUGCAACAAGAGGAUGGUGAUCAAAUUUAAUAGAAGACGGAAGAACUGCAAAGCGCAAAUGACAAGCUAUACAAUGUAUGAUAUGAUUUUAUGGCAACAAUGACAUUAUUGUAGCUUCUGAAAUUGUAAUUUGAACCUUGGAAAAUAAGCAUCCAGCCAUCUAAACACUCUGAUAGAAUAAUCAAGGAGCCAUCAUAAGAGUUUUUCCUCUUCAAGUUGUGCAACAUCUUCCAUGUACUCCCUCCGUCCCACAAUAUAAGACGUUUUUGCAAGCUAUGUUAGCUUGCAAAAACAUCUUAUAUUAUGAGACGGAGGAAGUACAUCUGAAGUACUCCCUCCAUUCCACAAUGUAGUGCACCCGCGCUUCCCAAGAUCUAAGUUUGACCAUACAUUUAACCAACGAGACCGACUGCGGCGGGAGCAAAAAUUAUAUCACUGAAUUUGUUGCUCCCGUCGCAGUGGUCUAGUUAGUUAAAUGUAUGGUCAAACUUAGAUCUCAGGAAGCACGGGCGCACUACAUUGUGGAAUGGAGGGAGUAGUACUUUGUAAUAUAUAUAAUGACAAUACUGAGGCUAGGAAAUAGGAUCCUCACCAACAUGCAAUUUUAGCCAAAAUGCAGAUGAUGAAUGCAUGUGAAAUUGAUGCAUUCUAAGAGGACAAAUGAAAAUACCUUGAUCAGCUGCUGAGCAGUUUGAACUUGUGAGGCACUUCCUGCGAUCUCGACCGUCAUCUCCCCAGGAACACCUUCUUGAAUACUUAUUGUCGCACCACUAUGCUUGCGGAUAUAGCUAAUAUUGGCACCAGCAGACCCAAUCACAGCAUCAGCGUAGGAAAGAGGAACUUGCAUUUUUUGGGAAAUCUGUCAAUAAACCAAACAAAUUUUUGGAAAAGGCAGUGUAAGCAAUAAAUUUACAGGCAUAAAAGAAGACAGCAUGUUCAUAAUGGUCAAAUUUAAAGCAACUAACUUGAGAAGACCCAUGCGAUAGGUGUUGAUUCCCUGAGGUAGGAGCAGCAGUUGGAUUUGCAUCACGUCCAUAUGAAGAAAUUCCAUAGUGCGGUUGCUUCUCCACAUGGUGCACAUCAGGAGGAGGAUAAUAGUUGUCUUGUGGCCGUGGCGGCAUAAAAUGUGGAUUCCCACCAUAACCUGGGCCACUGGGAGGAAUGUUUGGUGGAUGACUCCAGGGCGGAGGAGGACCCCAUUGCUGAGGAGCAGGCAUAGGUUGCUCUCUGGGCGCACUGUG